rnacentral:rRNA from 1 species
UUUGGUGGCGAUAGCGAAGAGGUCACACCCGUUCCCAUGCCGAACACGGAAGUUAAG